CUACGGGAGGCUGCAGUGGGGAAUAUUGCACAAUGGGCGCAAGCCUGAUGCCGCCAUGCCGCGUGUGUGAAGAAGGCCUUCGGGUUGUAAAGCACUUUCAGUGGGGAGGAAGGCGGUGAGGUUAAUAACCUCAUCGAUUGACGUUACCCGCAGAAGAAGCACCGGCUAACUCCGUGCCAGCAGCCGCGGUAAUACGGAGGGUGCAAGCGUUAAUCGGAAUUACUGGGCGUAAAGCGCACGCAGGCGGUCUGUCAAGUCGGAUGUGAAAUCCCCGGGCUCAACCUGGGAACUGCAUUCGAAACUGGCAGGCUAGAGUCUUGUAGAGGGGGGUAGAAUUCCAGGUGUAGCGGUGAAAUGCGUAGAGAUCUGGAGGAAUACCGGUGGCGAAGGCGGCCCCCUGGACAAAGACUGACGCUCAGGUGGGAAAGCGUGGGGAGCAAACAGGAUUAGAUACCCCGGUAGUC
rnacentral:rRNA from 1 species